rnacentral:rRNA from 1 species
UUGAAUACGGGAAUGAAUGAUUUUAUAUUUAAUUUUUUUUUUAAAAUAAAUAAUAAAAUUUAAAGUUAGAGUUAAAAUACUCUAAUUUAUUAAAAAGACGAUAAGACCCUAAAAGCUUUAUUUUUCUUAAUUUAAAUUUAAAUUAAGAAAUUUUUUACUGGGGUAGUAUUUAUAUUUAUUAUAAAAAUAUUUACUUGAGUGGUUUUAGAUUCUUUUAAAUUGAGAAAUAAAUAAGUUACUUUAGGGAUAACAGCAUAAUAAUAUUGGAGAGAACAUAUCUAUAAUAUUGAUUAUGACCUCGAUGUUGAAUUAAUUUAUCUUUUUAAUGUAGGAUUUAAAAUAGAAGGUUUGUUCAACCUUUGAU